UACAGAGGUCUCAACCGUUGUUCGGAUUCAUUGGGCGUAAAGGGUGCGUAGGCGGUGCCCUAAGUCUGUUGUGAAAUCUCCCGGCUUAACUGGGAGGUGCGGUGGAAACUGGGGUGCUUGAGUGUGGGAGAGGUAAGCGGAAUUCCUGGUGUAGCGGUGAAAUGCGUAGAUAUCAGGAGGAACACCGGUGGUGUAGACGGCUUACUGGACCACGACUGACACUGAGGCACGAAAGCGUGGGUAGCAAACAGG
rnacentral:rRNA from 1 species